GAUGAACGCUAGCGGCAGGCCUAACACAUGCAAGUCGAGGGGUAGAGGAAGCUUGCUUCCUUGAGACCGGCGCACGGGUGCGUAACGCGUAUGCAAUCUACCUUUUACAGAGGGAUAGCCCAGAGAAAUUUGGAUUAAUACCUCAUAGUAUAUAUCAUUCGCCUGUUUGAUAUAUUAAAGUUCCAACGGUAAAAGAUGAGCAUGCGUCCCAUUAGUUAGUUAGUAAGGUAACGGCUUACCAAGACGAUGAUGGGUAGGGGUCCUGAGAGGGAGAUCCCCCACACUGGUACUGAGACACGGACCAGACUCCUACGGGAGGCAGCAGUGAGGAAUAUUGGUCAAUGGACGCAAGUCUGAACCAGCCAUGCCGCGUGCAGGAAGACGGUCCUAUGGAUUGUAAACUGCUUUUGUACGGGAAGAAACACUCCUACGUGUAGGAGCCUGACGGUACCGUAAGAAUAAGGAUCGGCUAACUCCGUGCCAGCCGCCGCCGUAACAC
rnacentral:rRNA from 1 species